rnacentral:rRNA from 1 species
UGAGCAAUCUGCCCUUCUCAUCGGAAUAAGCGUUGGAAACGACGUCUAAUGCCGAAUACGACCUCCUUUCGCAUGAUCGGAGGUGGAAAGCUCCGGCGGAGAAGGAUGAGCUCGCGGCCUAUCAGCUAGUUGGUGUGGGUAAUGGCUCACCAAGGCGACGACGGGUAGCCGGCCUGAGAGGGUGACCGGCCACACUGGGACUGAGACACGGUCCAGACUCCUAGGAGG